UACAGAGACUGCAAGCGUUAUUCGGAUUCACUGGGCGUAAAGGGUGCGCAGGCGGCCAAGUGUGUGAGGCGUGAAAGCCUGGAGCUUAACCUGGGAGGUGCGUCUGGGACUGGGUGGCUCGAGUCCGGGAGAGGGGGGUGGAAUUCCCAGUGUAGCGGUGAAAUGCGUAGAUAUUGGGAGGAACACCGGUGGCGAAGGCGGCCCCCUGGACCGGUACUGACGCUGAGGCGCGAAAGCGUGGGUAGCAAACGGG
rnacentral:rRNA from 1 species